UGCUAUACUGCAAGUCGAGCGAACAGACGAAGUGCUUGCACUUCUGACGUUAGCGGCGAACGGGUGAGUAACACGUAAGGAAUCUACCUAUAAGCGGGGGAUAACAUUCGGAAACGGGUGCUAAUACCGCAUAAUAUCUUCUUCCGCAUGGAAGAAGAUUGAAAGACGGCUCUGCUGUCACUUAUAGAUGACCUUGCGGUGCAUUAGUUAGUUGGUGGGGUAAUGGCCUACCAAGACGAUGAUGCAUAGCCGACCUGAGAGGGUGAUCGGCCACAUUGGGACUGAGACACGGCCCAAACUCCUACGGGAGGCAGCAGUAGGGAAUCUUCCGCAAUGGGCGAAAGCCUGACGGAGCAAUGCCGCGUGAGUGAAGAAGGCCUUCGGGUCGUAAAACUCUGUUAUAAGAGAAGAACAAAUUGUAGAGUAACUGCUACAGUCUUGACGGUAUCUUAUCAGAAAGCCACGGCUAACUACGUGCCAGCAGCCGCGGUAAUACGUAGGUGGCAAGCGUUGUCCGGAUUUAUUGGGCGUAAAGGGAGCGCAGGUGGUUUCUUAAGUCUGAUGUGAAAGCCCACGGCUUAACCGUGGAGGGUCAUUGGAAACUGGGGAACUUGAGUACAGAAGAGGAAUGUGGAACUCCAUGUGUAGCGGUGGAAUGCGUAGAUAUAUGGAAGAACACCAGUGGCGAAGGCGACAUUCUGGUCUGUUACUGACACUGAGGCUCGAAAGCGUGGGGAGCAAACAGGAUUAGAUACCCUGGUAGUCCACGCCGUAAACGAUGAGUGCUAGGUGUUGGAGGGUUUCCGCCCUUCAGUGCCGCAGUUAACGCAUUAAGCACUCCGCCUGGGGAGUACGACCGC
rnacentral:rRNA from 1 species